rnacentral:tRNA from 1 species
GUGGGCAUAGCUCAGUGGCAGAGUGAGUGCCUAGCAUGCAUGAGGUCCUGAGUUCAAUCCUCAGUACCUCCA